CCGUUUUUGUAUUUUAAGCGGGUGGGGGGGGGCUUUCGGGAGGGGAAGCCUCGCCCGCGGAGAAGCGGGGGCUGGGAGCCACCGAAGAGGCCCGUCGAGGGGAUGUGGCGGUGGAUCCGGCAGCAGCUGGGUUUUGACCCACCACAUCAGAGUGAUAACCGAACUAUUUAUAUAGCCAAUCGUUUUCCUCAGCAUGGUCAUUAUGUUCCUCAGAAGUUUGCAGAAAACAGAAUAAUCUCCUCUAAGUAUACUGUAUGGAAUUUUGUUCCCAAAAAUUUAUUUGAGCAGUUCAGAAGGGUAGCCAACUUUUAUUUUCUUAUUAUAUUUUUGGUUCAGCUUAUGAUAGAUACACCUACAAGUCCAAUAACCAGUGGAUUGCCAUUGUUUUUUGUAAUAACUGUGACUGCCAUAAAGCAGGGCUAUGAAGAUUGGUUACGCCAUAAAGCAGACAAUGAAGUGAAUGGAGCUCCAGUGUAUGUUGUUCGCAGUGGUGGCCUUGUAAAAACAAGAUCAAAGAACAUUCGGGUGGGAGAUAUUGUCAGAGUAGCCAAAGAUGAAACUUUCCCUGUUGAUCUCGUACUUCUGUCAUCUGACAGAGCAGAUGGCUCUUGCUACGUUACUACUGCAAGCUUGGAUGGAGAAACUAAUCUUAAGACGCAUGUUGCAGUCCCCGAAACAGCAGUAUUGCAGUCAGUUGCCAAUCUGGACAAACUUGUAGCUGUUAUAGAAUGUCAGCAACCAGAAGCAGAUCUAUACAGAUUCGUUGGACGAAUAACAAUAAGUCAACAAAUUGAGGAAAUAGUACGACCUCUUGGACCUGAAAGUCUCUUACUUCGUGGAGCAAGGUUGAAAAACACCAAAGAAAUUUUUGGUGUUGCAGUGUAUACAGGAAUGGAGACGAAGAUGGCAUUAAAUUACAAGAGUAAAUCACAGAAACGAUCAGCAGUAGAAAAGUCUAUGAAUUCCUUUUUAAUUAUCUAUCUAAUAAUCCUCCUCUUUGAAGCAAUCUUGAGUACAAUAUUGAAAUAUGCCUGGCAGUCUGAAGAAAAGUGGCAUGAGCCUUGGUAUAACCAGCAAACUGAUCAUGAAAGAAACAGCAGCAAGAUUCUGAGAUUUAUUUCAGAUUUCCUUGCUUUCCUGGUCCUUUACAACUUCAUUAUUCCCAUUUCACUGUACGUGACUGUUGAGAUGCAGAAAUUUCUAGGAUCUUUUUUUAUUGGUUGGGAUCUUGACCUCUAUCAUGAAGAAACAAACGAGAAGGCCCAAGUGAAUACUUCAGACCUCAAUGAAGAGCUGGGACAGGUGGAGUAUGUGUUUACAGAUAAAACUGGUACAUUAACUGAAAAUGUGAUGCAGUUUCGGGAAUGUUCUAUUAAUGGUAUAAAGUACCAAGAGAUCAAUGGCAAACUGGUUCCAGAAGGGCUGAUUGAGGAUGUUCCAGAUGGAAUACAGCCUAGACUGACGGAAGAGGAAGAAAUCUUCCUGAAAGCUGUUUGUCUCUGUCACACGGUACAAAUUAAUAAUGACCAAACUGACGGCAUUUGUGACAGUCCUUGGCGUAGCAAUGGCAUAUCCUCUCAGCUGGAAUACUAUGCCUCCUCCCCAGAUGAAAAGGCUUUAGUCGAAGCUGCCUGCAGGGUUGGUGUUGUGUUUACUGGAGCAAGCGCAGAAAGUAUGGAGCUUAAAAGCUGUGGAAAGCCAGAAAGGUACAAAUUACUACAUGUUUUGGAGUUUGAUGCAAAUCGCAGAAGAAUGAGCGUAAUUGUAGAAAGCUCAUCAGGUGAGAAGCUCUUAUUCACCAAAGGUGCAGAAUCCGUUAUUCUUCCUCGCAGUACAAGGGGAGAGGUAGAAAAAACCAGAAUUCAUGUGGAUGAAUUUGCUUUGAAAGGAUUAAGAACUCUGUGUGUAGCUUACAGAAAAUUCACCCCUAAGGAGUAUCAGGAAGUUGAAAAACGCCUUUUUGAGGCAAAAACCGCUUUACAACAGCGGGAAGAGCGAUUGUCGGAGGUGUAUAACUUUAUAGAAAAUGACCUGGAACUGCUUGGAGCUACAGGAGUGGAAGACAAACUCCAAGACAAAGUCCAGGAAACCAUAGAAGCCCUCCGACUGGCAGGUAUUAAAGUGUGGGUGCUCACUGGCGACAAGCACGAAACCGCUGUCAGUGUCAGUUUAUCUUGCGGACACUUCCAUAGAACCAUGAACAUCCUGGAACUUGUGCAACACAAAUCAGACAGUACAUGUGCAGAGCAGCUGAGGCAGCUAGCCAGAAGAAUAGAGGAGGACCAUGUAAUCCAGCAUGGGCUGGUGGUGGACGGGACCAGCCUCUCCCUCGCACUCAGGCAGCAUGAGAAGCUCUUCAUGGAAGUCUGCAGAAAUUGCUCUGCCGUCCUGUGCUGUCGCAUGGCGCCUCUGCAGAAAGCAAAGGUUGUGCGGCUGUUGAAAACCUCUCCAGAGAAGCCUAUCACAUUAGCUAUAGGAGAUGGAGCUAACGAUGUGAGCAUGAUACAGGAAGCUCAUGUUGGGAUAGGUAUUAUGGGUAAAGAAGGAAGACAAGCUGUAAGAAACAGUGACUAUGCAAUUGCAAGAUUUAAAUUUCUUUCCAAAUUACUUUUGGUCCACGGCCACCUUUAUUAUAUUAGAAUAGCAACCCUUGUACAGUACUUUUUUUACAAGAAUGUGUGCUUUAUUACACCACAGUUUUUAUAUCAAUUCUUUUGCUUGUUUUCACAACAAACUCUGUACGACAGUGUGUACCUGACUUUGUACAACAUUUGUUUCACCUCCCUGCCAGUCCUCAUGUACAGUCUUUUUGAACAGCACGUGCAUCCCCAUGUAUUACACAGCAAGCCAACGCUGUAUCGAGACAUCAGUAAAAAUGCCCACUUGGGCUUUAAGCCUUUCCUUUACUGGACCUUCCUGGGAUUCGUUCAUGCUUUUGUUUUCUUCUUUGGCUCAUAUAUUCUGAUGGGAGAAGACACUUCAUUGCUGGGAAAUGGCCAGAUGUUUGGAAACUGGACAUUUGGUACUCUGGUUUUCACGGUUAUGGUUAUAACAGUGACAAUGAAGAUGGCUUUAGAGACUCAUUUCUGGACCUGGAUAAACCAUUUUGUUACCUGGGGUUCCAUUGUCUUUUACUUUGUAUUCUCCUUGUUCUAUGGGGGAAUUAUCUGGCCAUUUUUGCACACCCAAGACAUGUACUUCGUAUUUGUCCAGUUGCUCUCCAGUGGCUCUGCUUGGUUUGCCAUAAUCAUCAUAGUUGUCACUUGUUUGUUUUUCGAUAUUGUGAAAAAAGUACUGUACAGACACCUGCAGCCCACAAGUACAGAAAAAGCCCAGAUGUACUCCAGCAGAGUUGCUUUAAGCGAGGAAUGCAUCGCACUGCAGCCAUUGUCCAGGGCUCCGAGUCAGCUGAGCAAAAUUAGCUUACUGAGACAAGUGCAGGUAUCAACUGCUUGGACUCCAUGUGCUGCUUCUCAGAUGGAGAAACAGCAUGUGCGCCUCUUAGAAGAAUGCUGGAGCGAGUGAUGGGGAGCUGCAGCCCGACGCGAAUCAACAGUGUAUGUAAGGGCGCAGAAGAAGCAUGUAUUUAAACAAAUCAGGAAGAGUUUAAGAGUCCAUCUGUCCAAGCCCAGGUAUAAUUUUCUUUCUGAGGGGAAAAAGCAAAGUCAGAGAAGAUUUAUUUCAUUGUACCAUUUGUUUUGUGCAUGAUAAACAGGACCUGGGGCAAAUGGAAGCAGAGCUAAUAUAUUUUGUAUUGGACCACAGAUGCUUUUAUAAUUUUAUCUUUUUAAAAAAAAUAAUAAUGUUUGUGCAUUUUGGUUUCUUGGUCUGAUUAGUUCUAGGUUCAGCCAUAGGCCGAACAAAAUGAAUCAAGUGUGAAAUUCAUGAAUUAUAACAUAUUUGUACCUGUUAAGACCAGCCAGGAAAAGUAGAGUGGGCCCUGCUUUACUGAUUUUAGGUAAGGGGUAAGUUCUGUUAAGUCUCUCUAGUUCACGGAAUACACACAAGGAAACCUAGUGUCAAAUUAGCCUUGCGUAUUGCCGAUUCCCUGGAAGAAUCUGAACUGCAAAAUCCCAGUUCAGCAGUCAAAUGUUCAUACAAGAUUCCCAGUCCGAAACCCUGCGAAGAGGCAUGAUGUACGAACAGGGCCUUCUUCAUUCAUAUCACUGUGGAAGCCUUCACCACGGUAGGAACUCUGCAAAAACGUUGGCCACGGAGAACUGCAUCUGCAUCAAACCCUUGACUUUGCUCCUUAGGAUUGCUAGAUGGGGCUUCUGGAGGUACUCAAGUGACUCAGAAAGCCAUCUCUCUUACAGAGUGUGACAUUGUGCAUAUAGCCUCAUGCUGUCUGGCACAGUCAUGCCCAGAACAAGCCAACAUGGAUUGUCCACCUUACGGGCAGCUCUGUGCGUUGCUUCGUUGGCCAAGUCCGUUCUUUCUUCCAACCCCAGUCUGCACAUGGCCAGGUUUGUGGCAUCCCCAUUCAUAGUUGGGUGUGUCUUUUCUAAAUGCCACACGUUGAUUGUGGAGCAUGUUCCCUGCUCUCCGUGUUGGUGUGGGAGUGGUUCUGGGAAGAGUUUUGCGGCUGUCUUUUUGCGAUGUGCAUCUGUUGUAUUUUGGCAUUGCUGACAAGCUUUCUGCUGCUGCCCCAAAUGUUACCCUCAACAGAAAAUAUUGGGAUGUAUCUGGCUCAACAGGGACAGAAGAGAAUCCUCUCACAGCAACCUUUGACAAUUGGGCCUUGUUUAUCAUGAGAACAGGCGUAAGGAACGUCCAGCUCCCUCGAGCCCUAUACAAAAUGGCCAGUGGUCUGGAAUGAUGGCGGUUGUAGUUCACUAACAUGGGGCAGACCAUGAGUUCUUCACCCAUGGCUUGGAGAGUUCAAUGUGGAGAGGAGACUUAAAUGCCCAUGGAAAUCAGCAGGUAUUUAGGCCCCCUUGUUUAGAACCAGUUCAGACUUUACAGAUUUUUCCACAAAAGGGGACUUGGCCAUCCUCAGAAGUUCAGCUGCUGGGAGAAAGAAACUCCUAAUGACAACAGACAAGAAAUAAGCUUGGGACUCAGGGACUCAGUGGUCAGGCAUCUCCUACAUGCAGCUCUAUUUGCAAUACUUUGGGGGUAUCUGCAGAGCCCCACAGAUACUACUUAUUUCCAAAUACUAUGGAGUUUUGUCUGCUUAAAACAUGCUAUGCAUAUUUAAGGAUGUUUGGAGAUUUGCGGGAGGGGGCAUCGUACCAAAAACACUCCCUGCAAAGUCCCGUUGCCUUCAGUGGGCCUGCACAGCCUCUGCCCAUGUAAAGUUUCACCGGUAUCGCCCUGUGUGAAGCUGCAUUUUGUAGUGCUAAACAUUGUUCAGCCAUCGAAAGAAGGUAGUCUGAAACAUUCUUUUGACCUGCCCCCCCCCAAAGUUUUUAAGGCAGAAUAGAAUCUCUCUUUAAAAUUUAAUAUUCCAAAUUUGAUUGCUUUGUGAACUUCACUUUCCAAGUGUAUCUAACAUGCAAUCAGUAGAACAUUUGUAUAUUGAAAUCUCUAUAUAUAUCAUGCAGGAAUGAUUUAAAUGCCCAAUAGGAAAAACGGGGGGAAAGCAGCCAGGAGCUGGAGUUCAGGUAGCUCAAGUGUAGAGACCUUGUUUUGAACGCAGAAGGUUCCAAGUUUAGGCCCUGGCGUCAACUGGCUUUGAAACACUUUGGACUGAACCCCGAAGAUCUGCCAACCAGUGUAGACUACUGAGCUAGAUGGGCUAGGAAGUUGAUGCAUAGUGGCUUCCUGUAACACAUACCCAUUGUCAUAAGGAUGCUGCGGAAACCUGCUGUGGCUCCACUCCCUAAAAUCCCAGGGAUUGCAAUUGGGUGCAGGUACUACACAUUUGCCAACACUUACAGAACUUCCAGGCUUCCCCAGGGAUAAGGAAUGCAAACCCAAACAUCUGGAGUGUAGACUGGCUUGAGAGAGAAGGAGGGACGUUUGUGUUAAACCCGGGCCCCACAUUGAGAAAUGUGACUAACGCUGGACCCUGGAAAUGUUGAAGGACUGACUACAAGUAGAGCCUGUGUGCUUAUUAUGGAGCAAUGCCAACAAUAAUUUGGUGGCGGACACAACUAUAGCCAUCUUUAUCCUUUUUGCCAUGUGUCAUGUAAACGCGUUGAACCUCUGUAACAGCUGAUGGACAGUAGAAUGAUAAGUGACUGAGAAGGGUCCUGAGACAUAUUAGGAAGUAUGUAGGCUGUGCUUUCCUUCACUUGGCGUCCUCUUGUUGAAAUACCACAUGCGGUGGCCGGCGGGCACCAAGUUGGAGAAAAAUCACUGCAAAGGGAUGGUUGAUCAUGCUCAAACCUGCUGUCUCUUAACUCCACUGUGCAUGGUGGACUUUUGUAGCAGAGUGAACUUGGAUAGGAUUGUGUUGUAAUUCGGCCUCACUAAAAUCAAUGGGGGGCAGGUAAAGCACAGCUCAUAAUCUCCGUCUUGGGGCAGAAUUUAGGUUUCAAUGAGAUCCAGUGCGACAGAUAGUGCUUGUUGUGUGUGUACUCACCAUUUUCAACAAGAAUUGCCAUUUCAGAGAAAGCCUAUUUUGUUACUUAGCUGCAGGAUUAAAUAUUUACUGACUUGUGUUUUUUUUAAAGAAGCUGGGAAAUACUUUAUUUUUAAAACGAGGGUGGUUUCAGGUAUGAGACAUUAUUCUUACUAUGCCAAAGACUGCGCUUCAUCAAACAUGCUUGAUUCAAGUUCCUGCAAAUUGGUCCUCCUUCAUGAAGAAACAGCGAGCCCUCUUGAUUCUCAGUUGUGGACAGGCCUGGUGGGGUGCACUGCUCUCAGGGUUUGAAAAGGCCCCUGCAUGGUGCCGUUGGAAGGAGCACCAAAUGCAGCCCCACCUUAGCUGUUUGAAACUGUGCAAGAGGGACAUUAAAGCAGCAUUGCCUGUUGGGAACCAGAGCAAUAAUAGGUACCAAGUAAUCUUGACCCCGGGCACUGUGGCCACCUCUACCAUCGUUUUUAGAUCCUCUGUGGAAACAGAGUUUAAUAUAGCGUGCUGACCGUACUGCUAUGUCAAUAGGUUGUUCUACAAAAGUUUAUGGAAAUUAUAUUUAUUGAAUAAAUCUUUUGACUUUUA